UACGUAGGGCGCAAGCGUUAUCCGGAAUUAUUGGGCGUAAAGAGCUCGUAGGCGGUUUGUCGCGUCUGCCGUGAAAGUCCGGGGCUCAACUCCGGAUCUGCGGUGGGUACGGGCAGACUAGAGUGAUGUAGGGGAGACUGGAAUUCCUGGUGUAGCGGUGAAAUGCGCAGAUAUCAGGAGGAACACCGAUGGCGAAGGCAGGUCUCUGGGCAUUAACUGAUGCUGAGGAGCGAAAGCAUGGGGAGCGAACAGG
rnacentral:rRNA from 1 species